rnacentral:lncRNA from 1 species
CUGACAACCACUGUUCUGCUUGGUGUUCCUGCAGACACAUUUGCCUUUUCUAGAAUAUCUAAGAAAUGGAAUCAAACAAGACUUCUUUCAUGCAACAGCAUGCCUCUGAAACUCAAUCAAGUUUUUGUGUAUAUCAAUAUUGGCUCAUUUGUUUGAUCGUAAAAUGAAGCCACACAUAGUCUUUGGAUUUAAUCAUUGUCCACUUAGCUUCUUUUUUGAUGCCUUUUCUUGUAUGUUAGCUGAAAAAAAAAAAUAGUUAGGUUUGCAUCAUUUGUUUAGUCAUUUCCCAGUUUGAUGGUGUGAGGAAUACUACUAGAAUGCAGGAAGCUUAAGCCUACAGAGUUUAUUCUUUGAAUUUUUAUAACUGUGGUGGAAACUGGAUUUCUGUUCCCUAUAUCUGGAUUGAAUUCUAUCUGCUGCUAGCCGUGAGCAUUUUUGUGUAUAUGAGGCCAACUCUGGUGGUGAGAAGCACUAUCAUCCGACUUCUUUGUGCAGCUAUGGAGGGAGACUUGCAGCCUCUCAGUGUUGCGGCUUUCAGCUGAUGUUGACCUAGAACUGUGUGAAGAGUUCAGGAGACUUGUCCUCUAGGUGUGCUAUGCCUUGAUGUUGCCAUCGAAACCGGAGGCUCCGCAUGGGAUUUUGCUACUACCAAGAAAAAUCGGCAGGGAAUUAUUGGCUGUGCCAAGAAAGAUCACUUGGGAAACACAAAAGAUGUUCUCUGAGAACGGAGGAAGGGCUUAGAGAACAAUUGGAAGACACUUUCAAUGUCUACACAAGAAAAAAGGGCCAGAAUAUAUAAAGAUGUGGACCAACUUCAGGGUUCUGUGGAGCUGAACCAACAAACUUGGUGACUAGCUCGACAUGGGGGAAUGAUGUCAAGAAAAGUUAACCUCAUGUGGCAAUUGUAUCUGAC